AGGUAGUAUAUAUAUAGCGCGGCUACUUCCUCCCCACAACGAAUGGAGACUUGCGCAUGAAUGUGUCUCUACCUCAAACAUUCAGGGCAGUGUCGAGAGUUCAGUUCCGGGAGUCGCCAAUCCCAGUGAUAAGCAGCGGGUGAUUGACAGAUCUGAACACGCUUGAGAUAGCUUUCGAUCGUUGUAUGUGAGCUGGAUGAUUCGGGAUACACGGAAAUGUGAACUCCACGAUAACGACCGUCUCGAGUGCGUAGACCCAUUUGUUAACACGCUGACACGCUCGACUGAUUCCUGACCUUGCGACAAAAGUACCGGAAGUUGGGAUCACGUGACCUCACGAAAUCGACCGAGGCCAGACGACUCGAGAGGGAAAGAGACCUCCGAAUGUAGCUGCAAUAUUGCUGAGUGCGACGUCAAACCAUCCAAGGGUCGGAUGAUCAUGUUCCAUUACUUGGUGCCAGCGUUUCCGCGAGAGUGGAACUCUAGGCAUUGUAUCAUUCACUGUCGCGCCUAUCGUUGCAUGGCAUUUCUCACAACACACAACCAUUACGUGACGCAACGCAUCACGCAACACGUCUUGUUUCAAGCAGGUUGUGUAUAACAGCCGCUCAGUGACGAAUAACAUAUGACGUUGUGUAUAAACACGGAAGUCACUUCGAGGGUUUCACCGCACGUGCAAUUAGAGAGGAAAAAUGUUACCUUCCUUUCCUUGGAUGUAUUUUGGGUUGAAGCCGUCGGGCAUACUUUUUUAAUAUGUUGAUUAAUGUUUACCUUGAAGAUGAAAGGUCCUUGUAUAAAGUCAGUUUCAGAAAUCCACUCUCCGUGUGCGUGUGUGUUGACGACCUUUUUCAGCCCUCGAUGGAAGUGCUUGUGCUUUUGUCUUUUCAUAAACAUGCUUGCUUUUUUUCGUCAUACUGUCAUCAACUUAAGUAUUACAUAGAAAUAGUGAAAGUCCGUUAAUGCAUGGUGUUUGUACCCCAGUAAACUCACCCAAAUAAAUAUUUACGGGGAUAAGAUAUCUUUUGUACGGAGACGUUCAAUUUAAAUUUUUUCGAGCCCCGGAUUCUGUUCCUGUGAAACUGAAGCUUAAACAUCAGUAUGGGAAAUACUCAGAGAAAAGAGCGCCUUCAUUCUCGACAUAAUGGAAAAGGCGUCACAAUUUUAAAUAUGGAAAAUAUAUGUUUCAUUUUGGUAGCGGAUCGGGUAUCUGUGUUUGUGUUUGUUCCGGGCAAUCAAGAGCACUAAUUAAUAUUUGGUAUAUUCUGUUCAUAAUGGACAUACUAGUUUAAGCACAUCAAUAAGAUAAUCGUGCUCCAUGUUAACCCGACGCCGGGGAUCGGUGCUCGUGUUAUCAACCACAAGUUUUGUGUUGUAAAGAAUCGAGUAUAACAGGUCGGAAUAGUAUAGCUGGUUUAGUAUUGACUGUCCUGUAUAACAAUAUACGCGCAUUUGCUCGACCACCAGUGAGUAUCACCUGUUUAUAUUAAGUGUUUUGACCAGUGUCAUAAAGUAGAUAAGUCCUCCGGGACCAAAUGUCUUUACAAUAUAAGGAUGCUUUAAGAUCUGUCAAGAUCAAGUUGUGAAAUCAUUUCAUCCGCGUGGUUAGAAGUCAAAUUGGUCUUCAACAACCCAUGCUUGUCGUAAGAGGCGAGUAAAUGGGAUCGGGUGGUCAGGUUCGCUGGCUUGGUUGACACAUAUCAUCGUAUCCCUAUUGAGUAGAUCGAUGCUCAUGCUGUUGAUCACUGGAUUGUCUGGUCCAGACUCGAUUAUUUAGAGUCCACCACCGUACCAUAUCUGGAACCAUUGCUGAGUGCGGCAUUUAACAGUAAACUAACAAACUUGUUUAAGCAACGUCAACUGUAGCACUAAGUACAGCUGUAACAUAGUAUUGUUAUCAGGCACGACAAAUUCAUUUCCGUGUUCGUGACCUGUCAAUUAGUAUUAUCUACAGUCAACAAAACAGUUCUUCUUUUCCGUUUAACGCCAACUCGAGGACAUGAGAGAAUUUACAGAACACCAAAAAACAACCGAGUUAAAUAUUUUGGGAUGCAACACGAUGUUUAGUGUCACUGUUUUAUCCUUUGUCUAAUUGGAAUGAAUAAAUCAUCCUGGUGUAUA